UACGUAGGGUCCGAGCGUUGUCCGGAAUUACUGGGCGUAAAGCGCGCGCAGGCGGCCCGCGAGGUGUCACGUGAAAGCCCCGGGCUCAACCCGGGAGGGUCGUGGCAAACCGGCGGGCUUGAGGCCGGUAGAGGUGGGUGGAACUCCUGGUGGAGUGGUGAAAUUCGUAGAUAUUCGGAAGAACACCAGUGGCGAAGGCGACUUACUGGACACAUAUUGACGCUGAGGCACGAAAGCGUGGGGAUCAAACAGG
rnacentral:rRNA from 1 species